UCGAGGGCAAAAAAGUGCAUAUUUUUUAUGUCUGCAUUUGGAGUGAAAGGUUAUAUGGUUGUGGGGUAGUGAUCUCAAGUCUUCAGGGUUGAUUAUCAGCAGAUGUGUGACAUUUAAUGAGUCUGCUUCAUUAGAUAGUCAAAAAGAGAAGACAAUAGUAGAAUUAGAUCAUGGUGUCAGAGAACAAGCAAAAUUAGGAGUUCAAUCCGAUGGUCCAAAGAAUAAAGUGCAUGAUCUUAAUCAAAAAGUUGAUAGUGCACCUGAUCAACAAUAACCAUAUAGUAUUACAACAGAUAAAGGAGAAAAGACAGAUCAAA
rnacentral:lncRNA from 1 species